CCUACGGGGUGCAGCAGUGAGGAAUAUUGGUCAAUGGCCGGAAGGCUGAACCAGCCAUGCCGCGUGAAGGUCAGUGCCCUAUGGGCGUUAAACUUCUUUUGUGCGGGAGCAAUAAUGGUCACUUGUGGCCAGACGAGAGUACCGUACGAAUAAGCAUCGGCUAACUCCGUGCCAGCAGCCGCGGUAAUACGGGGGAUGCAAGCGUUAUCCGGAUUUAUUGGGUUUAAAGGGUGCGUAGGCUGUGAGGUAAGUCAGCGGGGAAAUGCCCCCGCUCAACGGGGUGAAGUGCCAUUGAUACUGCCUUGCUGGAGUGCGGAUGAGGUGGGAGGAAUGUGUGGUGUAGCGGUGAAAUGCAUAGAUAUCACACAGAACACCGAUUGCGAAGGCAUCUCACGAAUCCGCGAUUGACGCUGAUGCACGAAAGCGUGGGUAUCAAACAGGAUUAGAUACCCCAGUAGUC
rnacentral:rRNA from 1 species